UUCCUCCUGCCAGGCACACAUGGUAAGCUUUCGGCCUGCACCACAGUCACUUGUCAGCUUUGCUUUGCCAUGACAUCGGAUCCAGUUUCUGUUCUUUGUCAUGUGUGUGCAUUUUGUGUACUUAUAGAGGUUGUUUUUGUCUUUUGGUUUUGAUUUUCUCUUUUUCUGUUUCUGUUUGUUUGUUUUUCUCCUCUAUUUUAAUUUCUGUGUUGUUUUUGUCUUUUGGUUUUGAUUUUCUCUUUUUCUGUUUCUGUUUGUUUGUUUUUCUCCUCUAUUUUAAUUUCUGUGUUGUGUGUGUUUUUUUCAUUUGUCUAUUUCUGUUGUUUUUUUCUGUGGGGAGCUCUGUGGGGUGCGCUCUGUGCUUGGAUUUUUUUUUUUUGUGGGUUUUUUGGUUGAUUUUUUUCUUCGAUUAUUUUUUUUUUCAGUUUUGUUGCUUUAAAUGUGAUGUGAUUUUCUGUGUAUUUUUCUUUGCUGUUUGGUUCUGCAAUUUUUGUUAAUUUUUUCUCAUUUUUAAUUUCUAUGUUGUGUGUUUUUUCUCAUGUGUUUUUUCACUGAUCUUUUCUGUGGGGCACUCUGUGGGCCUUUGGUUUGUAGUGGGCCUUUGGUUUGUAGUGGGCCUUUGGUUUGUAGUGGGCCUUUGGUUUGUAGUGGGCCUUUGGUUUUGUUGCUUUAAUGUGGUUCUUUUGAUUAGCUGUUUUUGCACUUUUGGAGUAGCAAAACUACUUUUUUGUGUGUGCUUGUGUUUUGUGCUUUUGUUUUGUUUUUGCUUUCUGUGUUUUAUGAUUCGAUUUUAGAUUUUCUUUCAUUUGUUUUUUUUCUUUUGUUCUGUUUUUGGAAAAUUUCUUAUCUUGUUUCGUCAAAUAUGUGUCCUUUUGUUGUUGCUUUUCUCUUUUUUUUUUCCAUUUUUUAAUGCCUAUUUCGUGUGUUGUUCAUUCUGUGAGGCGCUUUGGGGUGCUCUGUGCUCUUGGGUUUUCUUUUCUUUUUGGCUUGGUUUGUUUCUUUUUGUGAUUUUUGGUUUUUCAUUGUUUUUUUUUUCCUUUUCUGAUUUGUUGCUUUAAGUGUGACUGCUUUCAUUUGCUGUUUUUCCCUUCAGUUUUCCUUCAUUGUAAAUCCAUAGCCAUUGUAAAUCCAUAGCCAUUGUAAAUCCAUAGCCAUUGUAAAUCCAUAGCCAUUGUAAAUCCAUAGCCAUUGUAAAU
ensembl:lncRNA